rnacentral:lncRNA from 1 species
CUCUGUGACUGGCUUGCUUGAUGGUUAGGGUCUGAUCGCUGCCUGAGACACCAUAUCGGUACUCCUCAGAGUUGGUGAUCACAGGAUCUGGUUUGCCACUGAAAGGAAUCUUGAUGCUGACCACUUCACCUCGGAGAGCAUGAACUGCUCCCAUGCCUUCAAGAGUUUUAGAAUUUUAUGCAAAGAUGGAACUUUACCAUAGGAAGAUACAGAAAUCAAGUUGUACUCACCAAAUGGACUCUUAAUGAUCACAACUGAGGACACUUCUAGAGGGUCACUGAUGCCGAAAGUGUUCUGAGCUGAAACCCGGAAGUAAUAGCCAGCAUUUUCUGUGAGGUUCACAAUUCUACAGGUUGUCACUGAGAUGGCUGAAGACACCAAUUGCCAUUCAGCCCCCUCCUUGGCCUCACAUUUUUCCACCACAUAGUUGGUGAUCCAGGAGCCUCCGUCAUCUGCGGGUGGUUUCCAGCUGAUCACUGCGGAGUUCUUCAAUAGAGCUUCGAUCACAAUUGGUCCUGUAGGAUGGCAUCAACUGUUCCAAAAACAUUGCUGAGCUGGACUUUGUAUUUCCCAGCAUGAGUCUUACGUUGGACAUUCUUCAUGACAAGAUGAGUAUAGUGCUCAGUGUUUUCAAUAGUAAUGUUUUCUGAGUUUUGCAAAAGUUUCUGACCAUGGAACCAAGUCAUGGCAGGUACUGGACGACCAAUGUACAUAACAUGAAGCCGAAGUGUGGAACCCACAGCUCCAUAAUAUUUCUCUUUCAGUGGGUAACCAGGAUGGAACUGCGGUGUUGCUUGCAGGAGAAGCUUACUACUGGUUUCUACUUCUCCAACCUCAUUGGUGGCUAUGCAGGCACUGUCUCCAGACUGUCUAUAUUCAACCCAGUAUCCAAGAAUUUCUUUACCACCAUCACAUUCAGGUUUCUCCCACUGUAGAGUGACACUAUCUUUGGAUAUUGAAAGAAUCUCAAGUUCUCCUGGUUGGCUUGGUUUAUCUGAAAUAUUUUAAAAUAAUGAAAAGGGAGUCAGCUUUACUGGUGAAAUAAAAGGACCAAACAU